rnacentral:rRNA from 1 species
GAUGAACGCUGGCGGCGUGCCUAAUACAUGCAAGUAGAACGCUGAAGGAGGAGCUUGCUCUUCUGGAUGAGUUGCGAACGGGUGAGUAACGCGUAGGUAACCUGCCUGGUAGCGGGGGAUAACUAUUGGAAACGAUAGCUAAUACCGCAUGACAACAGUUAUUGCAUGAUAACUGUUUAAAAGGGGCAACUGCUCCACUACCAGAUGGACCUGCGUUGUAUUAGCUAGUUGGUGAGGUAACGGCUCACCAAGGCGACGAUACAUAGCCGACCUGAGAGGGUGAUCGGCCACACUGGGACUGAGACACGGCCCAGACUCCUACGGGAGGCAGCAGUAGGGAAUCUUCGGCAAUGGACGGAAGUCUGACCGAGCAACGCCGCGGGAGUGAAGAAGGGUUUCGGAUCGUAAAGCUCUGUUGUAAGAGAAGAACGAGUGUGAGAGUGGAAAGUUCACACUGUGACGGUAUCUUACCAGAAAGGGACGGCUAACUACGUG